rnacentral:rRNA from 1 species
AAACGUAGGAGGUGAGCGUUAUUCGGAUUUACUGGGCGUAAAGCGCGUGCAGGCGGCUCUGUAAGUUGGAGGUUAAAUCUCCCGGCUCAACUGGGAGGCGUCCUUCAAAACUGCAGGGCUUGAGGAUGGGAGAGGGAAGUGGAAUUCCCGGUGUAGUGGUGGAAUGCGUAGAUAUCGGGAGGAACACCAGUGGCGAAGGCGGCUUCCUGGCCCAUACCUGACGCUAAGACGCGAAAGCGUGGGGAGCGAACGGGAUUAGAAACCCCGGUAGUCC